AGUGAACGCUGGCGGUAGGCCUAACACAUGCAAGUCGAACGGCAGCACAGAGGAGCUUGCUCCUUGGGGGGCGAGUGGCGGACGGGUGAGGAAUACAUCGGAAUCUACUCUGUCGUGGGGGAUAACGUAGGGAAACUUACGCUAAUACCGCAUACGACCUACGGGUGAAGGCAGGGGACCUUCGGGCCCUGCGCGAUUGAAUGAGCCGAUGUCGGAUUAGCUAGUUGGCGGGGUAAAGGCCCACCAAGGCGACGAUCCGUAGCUGGUCUGAGAGGAUGAUCAGCCACACUGGAACUGAGACACGGUCCAGACUCCUACGGGAGGCAGCAGUGGGGAAUAUUGGACAAUGGGCGCAAGCCUGAUCCAGCCAUACCGCGUGGGUGAAGAAGGCCUUCGGGUUGUAAAGCCCUUUUGUUGGGAAAGAAAUCCAGCUGGCUAAUACCCGGUUGGGAUGACGGUACCCAAAGAGUAAGCACCGGCUAACUUCGUGCCAGCCGCCGCGGUAA
rnacentral:rRNA from 1 species